rnacentral:tRNA from 1 species
GAGGGUAUAGCUCAGUAUUAAAGUGUGUGCUUAGCUUGCACAAGGUCCUGGGUUCAAUCCCCAGUACCAACA